GACGAACGCUGGCGGCGUGCCUAAUACAUGCAAGUUGAGCGCUGAAGGUUGGUACUUGUACCAACUGGAUGAGCAGCGAACGGGUGAGUAACGCGUGGGGAAUCUGCCUUUGAGCGGGGGACAACAUUUGGAAACGAAUGCUAAUACCGCAUAAAAACUUUAAACACAAGUUUUAAGUUUGAAAGAUGCAAUUGCAUCACUCAAAGAUGAUCCCGCGUUGUACUAGCUAGUUGGUGAGGUAAAGGCUCACCAAGGCGAUGAUACAUAGCCGACCUGAGAGGGUGAUCGGCCACAUUGGGACUGAGACACGGCCCAAACUCCUACGGGAGGCAGCAGUAGGGAAUCUUCGGCAAUGGACGAAAGUCUGACCGAGCAACGCCGCGUGAGUGAAGAAGGUUUUCGGAUCGUAAAACUCUGUUGGUAGAGAAGAACGUUGGUGAGAGUGGAAAGCUCAUCAAGUGACGGUAACUACCCAGAAAGGGGCGGCUAACUACGUG
rnacentral:rRNA from 1 species